AUGAUGAGGACGGCGGCGGUGCUCCUCCUCCUCUGCCUUUUCGCCGUCGCCGGCAGCGGCGGGGGCGUAGCGCGGGCCGCGGCCGUAUGGGCGGAGGGGAUCAGGGCGACUGCGGCGGUGGAGGUCGACCCUGCCUGGCGGUUCCCUAGCCCGCGGCUGCGGGACGCGUACGUCGCGCUGCAGACGUGGAAGCAGCAGGCCAUCUUCUCCGACCCCAAGAACCUCACCGGCAACUGGGUGGGGCCCGGGGUCUGCGGCUACACCGGCGUGUUCUGCGCGCCCGUCCCGUCGUCGGGCGAGCUCGCCGUCGCCGGCGUCGACCUCAACCACGGCGACAUCGCGGGCUACCUCCCGUCGGAGCUCGGCCUCCUCUGCGACCUCGCGCUGCUCCACCUCAACUCCAACCGCUUCUGCGGCCUCGUGCCCGACACCUUCCGCCGCCUCGUCCUCCUCCACGAGCUCGACCUCAGCAACAACCGCUUCGUGGGCGCGUUCCCGACCGUCGUGCUCGACCUCCCGUCCCUCAGGUUCCUCGACCUCCGCUUCAACGACUUCGAGGGCGGCGUGCCGUCGGAGCUCUUCGACCGCCCGUUCGACGCCAUCUUCCUCAACCACAAUCGCCUCCGCUUCCAGCUCCCCGACAACUUCGGCAAUUCGCCCGUGUCCGUCAUCGUCCUCGCCAACAACCACUUCGGCGGCUGCCUCCCGGCGAGCCUCGGCAACAUGUCCGACACGCUCAACGAGAUCCUCCUCAUCAACAACGGCCUCACCUCGUGCCUCCCGCCGGAGGUCGGGAUGCUCCGGGAGGUGACGGUGUUCGACGUCAGCUUCAACGCCCUCGCAGGCCCGCUGCCGCCGGAGGUGGCCAGGAUGCAAAAGGUGGAGCAGCUCGACAUCGCGCACAACCUGCUGUCGGGGACCGUGCCGGAGGCCGUGUGCGACCUCCCACGGCUCAAGAACUUCACCUUCUCCUACAACUUCUUCACCGGCGAGCCGCCGUCCUGCGCGCGCGUCCUGCCUGCCGACGGCGACCGCCGGAACUGCCUCCCAAACCGCCCCGCCCAGCGCAUGCCGCAGCAGUGCGCCGCUUUCUAUGCCCGCCCGCCCGUCGACUGCGCAGCUUUCCAGUGCAAGCCGUUUGUCCCACCUCGGCCACCCCCACCGCCAGCAUACCCCGGCCCGUUGCCGCCAGUGUACCCCAUGCCAUACGCGUCGCCGCCGCCGCCUCCACGUUACCGAUGA
rnacentral:rRNA from 1 species